rnacentral:rRNA from 1 species
GAUGAACGCUGGCGGCGUGCCUAAUACAUGCAAGUCGAGCGAACAGACGAGGAUCUUGCUCCUCUGACGUUAUCGGCGGACGGGUGAGUAACACGUGUAUAACCUACCUAUAAGACUGGGAUAACUUCGGGAAACCGGAGCUAAUACCGGAUAAUAUAUUGAACCGCAUGGUUCAAUAGUGAAAGACGGUUUUGCUGUCACUUAUAGAUGGAUCCGCGCCGCAUUAGCUAGUUGGUAAGGUAACGGCUUACCAAGGCAACGAUGCGUAGCCGACCUGAGAGGGUGAUCGGCCACACUGGAACUGAGACACGGUCCAGACUCCUACGGGAGGCAGCAGUAGGGAAUCUUACGCAAUGGGCGAAAGCCUGACGGAGCAACGCCGCGUGAGUGAUGAAGGUCUUCGGAUCGUAAAACUAUGUUAUUAGGGAAGAACAAAUGUGUAAGUAACUAUGCACGUCUUGACGGUACCUAAUCAGAAAGCCACGGCUAACUACGUG